UUUGUGUAUUCUCUUUAAUUUUUGGUUUAAAAAGGAAAAAAGGUCACAUUUUAGUAUUUUUUUUUUAAUUGCUAGGAUGGCAAAAACUUGUGUCGUUGGUGGUGGUUGAAGCCGAUCUUUUCACAAGACCUUAGAACACACGCGCGCAACAAACUUAUGGGAGAGGAUAGCUGCAAAACCCAAGGCACAAAAGGGACGACUACAGACAAACAAAAACAACAACACGGAGAACAUUUAUAGUAAAGAAAGGAGCACACUAAGAGCACACAAAAAAUGUUAGAAGACUUGAAAGCAAGAAGCAAUAAAGCAGUCUUCAGACCGAGAAGUAACAUGUUUCUUA